GUUGGACAGAAAGACAUCAACUCAGUGACUUGAGAUAUGACUGCACUAUGCUGUUGCUGUGACUCCAGUUAAUUCUACAAGACAUGCUGUGACAACAGGAGAGAUGAGUCCUCCAUCACAGAUGGUCAG